rnacentral:rRNA from 1 species
ACAGGUGUUGCAUGGCUGUCGUCAGCUCGUGUCGUGAGAUGUUCGGUUAAGUCCGCUAACGAGCGCAACCCUCGUCGUAUGUUAUAUGUGUCAUACGAGACUGCCGGUAAAAAGACCGGAGGAAGGUGAGGAUGAUGUCAAGUCAGCAUGACCUUUAUAUCCAGGGCUACACACACGCUACAAUGGUCUGUACAAUGGGUAGCCAAGCCGCGAGGCGGAGCCAAUCCUGAAAGCAGGCCUCAGUUCAGAUUGUAGGCUGAAACUGCCUGCAUGAAGUUGGAGUUGCUAGUAGCCGCAGGUCAGCACACUGCGGUGAAUACGUUCUCGGGCCUU